GAUGAACGCUGGCGGCGUGCCUAAUACAUGCAAGUCGAGCGAACAGAUGAGGAGCUUGCUCCUCUGACGUUAGCGGCGGACGGGUGAGUAACACGUGGAUAACCUACCUAUAAGACUGGGAUAACUUCGGGAAACCGGAGCUAAUACCGGAUAAUAUAUUGAACCGCAUGGUUCAAUAGUGAAAGACGGUUUUGCUGUCACUUAUAGAUGGAUCCGCGCCGCAUUAGCUAGUUGGUAAGGUAACGGCUUACCAAGGCGACGAUGCGUAGCCGACCUGAGAGGGUGAUCGGCCACACUGGAACUGAGACACGGUCCAGACUCCUACGGGAGGCAGCAGUAGGGAAUCUUCCGCAGAGGGCGAAAGCCUGACGGAGCAACGCCGCGUGAGUGAUGAAGGUCUUCGGAUCGUAAAACUCUGUUAUUAGGGAAGAACAAAUGUGUAAGUAACUAUGCACGUCUUGACGGUACCUAAUCAGAAAGCCACGGCUAACUACGUG
rnacentral:rRNA from 1 species